GUAGGUGGCAAGCGUCGUCCGGAAUUAUUGGGCGUAAAGCGCGCGCAGGCGGUCCUUUAAGUCUGAUGUGAAAGCCCACGGCUCAACCGUGGAGGGUCAUUGGAAACUGGGGGACUUGAGUACGGAAGAGGAAAGCGGAAUUCCAAGUGUAGCGGUGAAAUGCGUAGAGAUUUGGAGGAACACCAGUGGCGAAGGCGGCUUUCUGGUCUGUAACUGACGCUGAGGCGCGAAAGCGUGGGGAGCAAACAGGAUUAGAUACCCUGGUAGUCCACGCCGUAAACGAUGAGUGCUAAGUGUUAGGGGGUUUCCCGCCCCCCUUAGUGCUGCAGCUAACGCAUUAAGCACUCCGCCUGGGGAGUACGGCCGCAAGGCUG
rnacentral:rRNA from 1 species